rnacentral:tRNA from 1 species
CCCUUUGACAUCCUCAGGGCGCGCGGACUGUUAAUCCGUAUGUCACUGGUUCGAGUCCAGUCAGAGGAGCCA